rnacentral:rRNA from 1 species
GAUGAACGCUAGCGGGAGGCUUAACACAUGCAAGUCGAGGGGCAGCACGAUGUAGCAAUACGUUGGUGGCGACCGGCGCACGGGUGAGUAACGCGUAUGCAACCUACCCUGUACAGGGGGAUAACCCGGAGAAAUUCGGACUAAUAUCCCAUAAUAUCACAGAAAGGCAUCUUUUUGUGAUUAAAGCUCCGGCGGUUAAAGAUGGGCAUGCGUACCAUUAGCUAGUUGGUGAGGUAACGGCUCACCAAGGCAACGAUGGUUAGGGGGUCUGAGAGGAUGAUCCCCCACACUGGUACUGAGACACGGACCAGACUCCUACGGGAGGCAG